CUCAUGGUGGAGAUUUGGUGCAAAGCUUGAACUGCUUAAGACCUCCAUGCGAUUCAAGAGCCACCGGCCCAUCAGCUAAGAUUUCAACCAUUAUUUUAUGUCUUUGAUCUCUCAUUUUCAUGGUGCCUCAUUUCUGUCUCCACCGCAGGUAUUUCAGUUCUGUAUGCUGAAAAUGUGACUCAUACAGUUGCCAUUCCCCAGCCCUACCUGAUACACUCCUCUGUGAUUUGCUCACUAGCUAUAUCUGAUAAAUGACACACAACAGGAAGACAAAAAGAAGUAUAGUUCCAAGGGACACUUCUGCCUCAGGAGAGUGCUGCUAGAAGGCAUAAGUACUAGGACAUUUGAUUCUGGAACACUACAGAAACAGUCUCCCACACAAUAAAGCAUGCUCCACAGGUGGCAAGGUGAAGAGCUUUUCCUUUGGCCCACACAAGGAGACAAGAGCUCAUUACCAGUGCUAAAGGAACACAGGACUGGUCCAAUCUUUCACAUCCAAGUAAGCAUCUAAUAGGUAUCUACUUCAGAAGGCUCCACAAAACAUUUAGUCCAUAAAUCUGGACAGUUUCCAGCAUCCUGUAACACAAAAUGCCUACACAAAAGGACUGAAAGCCACAGCUGUUAAAAAAAAAAAUAGCCACAAGAAAGAGGUCAGGAGAGAUUGGGCACUGCAGAGAUGCUAGGGUUUUGCAGUAGUGGACAGCGUAUGACAUGAGGUUCCAGAAAGAAACAUUCCACUCUCUCUCACAGAGAAGGAAAUAAAACAUAUAUAAACUUACA
rnacentral:lncRNA from 14 species